AUUCAGUGUUUGGGUGAAGACGGAGGCGGGUUCUGGACAGACCUACGCUGUCGGGGAGUGUUUACUUCGCCUCCACUUCUGUUCCUCCCCGCCCUGGUGCUGCUCCAGGUCACAUACUCUUCCUGAGCCGGCUUCAGCCUCUCCGCGCAGAAGUCUCCCGGAGCCAUGGCCUAGUAUUCUUAUGUGAAGUCUACCAAGCUUGUGCUCAAGGGAACCGAGGUGAAGAGCUGGGUCCUGCAGCUCCGGCGGGAGCCUCCUCAGUUCUUUUCGGACGCACUCCACCCCCGCGAAUCCGGUGGAAGCCGUGAUGCGGAGAGCCGGCUUCGUGGCCUCCCAGGCUUCGCUCUGACCCUGUCUGGGCUGGAUGGAGGCCGGACCGCCCUUCCUGGCGCCUGUGCAGAGAGGGGCAGCCUCCUGCGCGGACGACCCUGGAAACAGGAUAGACGGGCGGGUGACCCGUGACCCCGUACCCACGAGUUUGGGUCCCUUGAGGCAUCUCUCCAGGCCUCUGCCUGUAAGAAGAAAAAGAGCAAAGAUAAGAAGAGAAAAAGAGAAGAUGAAGAAACCCAGCUUGAUAUGUUGGAAUCUGGUGAACAGUAACAAACUUUGGUGAAAUUUCAGGAACCAUAGCCAUUGAAGUGGAUGAGGGAACCUAUAUACAUGCACUCAACAAUGGUCUUUUUACCCUGGGAGCUCCACACAAAGAAGAAUCGCCCUGAAACCUGGCUAUGGAAAAUAUCUUAGUAUAAAUUCAGAUGAACUUGUUGUUGGCGUUCAGAUGCAAUUGGACCAAGAGAACAAUGGGAACCAGUCUUUCAAAAUGGUGCCUGUGCAGCAGUAUUCACUGUGAUAGGAAGUGAGAAGCAGUCUGAGUGUUCAUUGCUGAGGGAAUCAAGGGCAAAAUAUCAUGGAUGCACUCAUGGACAAAUAAGCAGCAGUUUGAAGCAACACCCUAGAUGGAUGUACAGCCAUCAAGAGGAUCUUAAAGUGUGGUCUUUAGUGGAAAAAAAGCAGAAGCAAUGUAUGGGAGACUGAGUAAUUACAUAUGAGCUCACAUCACUAUCUCUUCCACCACUGUCAUCCAUCAUGACUGAUCUGGGAGAUGAAACAGCACAGAUCUAAAGGACGUGGCUGGAGUGCAAUGGCAUGGUAUCGGCUCACUGCAACCUCUGUCUCCUGGGUUCAAGCGAUUUUCCUGCCUCAGCCUCCCAAGUAGCUGGGAUUACAGGCAUGCGUCAUCAUACCUAGCUAAUUUGUCCCAUAGAAUCUCAUCUUCUGGAUUUUGUGGCUAUUUUUUCAUGGUGUUGAUUCAUUCAUAAGGUAAAAUUUAUAUACAGUGAAAUGCAUUUUAUGGGUACAAUUCAAUGAGUUUUGAAAAGUGUGCACAUCCAUGUAACCACCACCCAGAUUAAGACACAGAACAUUCCCGUCACCUCAGAAUGUUUCCCGGUGCCUUCUUCCUACCCCUCAUACAGUAACAUUGUAAUAAUUUCUAUUGCCACAUAUAUGUUUACCUGUUCUGAAACUUCACAGAAAUGGAAUUAUAUAUUAUGUAUUUGUUUGUUACUGGCUUUUUAUCAUUUAAUUUUUUUUUAUUCAUCCACACCCACUGCAUGUGUCAGUAUUUCAUUCCUUCUUGUUAUUGUGUAGUAUACGAAUAUAUAAAUAUAUCACUAUUUUUGCAAUCUCCUGUUGAUGGACAUUUGUAUUGUUUCCAGUUAUUAGCUAUUAUGAAUCAUGCAACUAUGUAUAUUAUUAUACAGGUCUUUUGUGGACACAUCUCCAUUAUUUUUGGGUAAAUAUUUAGGAAUGGAAUGUUGGUCAGCUGUAGGCUCCAUUUUACAAGAAACUGCCAAACUGUCUUCCAUUCUACACUUUUGUUUGCAAUGUAUGAAAGUUCUGGUUGCUUCCUAUCCUAAUCAACAUUUGGUGUGGGACUACAGGAACAUGCCACUACACCUGAUUGAUUAAAGAAAAUUUUUUGUAGAGACAGGGUUUUGCUCUAUUGCCCAGGCUGGUCUUGAAUUCCUGGCCUCAAGUGAUCCUCCCACCUCAGCCACUCAAAGCUCUAGGAUUACAGGUGUGAGUCGCCACGACCGGCCAAAAUUUAUUAAUUGGUAGUUGGCAAUUGUUGAUGGAAAAGAAAAAGCAGGUUACAAGCAAUGUACUUUUUGAUGUCUUUGGUAUUAUCACAGGCAAAUAAAUUAUAUAUGUAUAUAUAUUAUGUAUAUUAUAUUAUGUAUUUUAAUUAUAUGUGUAUAACGUAUAUGUAUAGAAAGAGAUACAGUAAGGAAUAUAAGUUUUUCUAUUAACAUAGGUAACCCAAGGUAGGGGAUAAGAUGUUUACAUUCUCUUAUUUGUGUUUUCUAACUUUCCACCAGGCACAUACACUGUUUCUAUAAUAACACGUGCUGGUUGAAAAUGUCAGACUCUGAAAUUCAAUGUUUUAUAAUAUAGGGUGAUAGACAAGAGGGAUGGAUAGAGCAAGAAGAAUGAAACCUAAUAGGGUUAGUUAGAGCCCUACUGAGUGAAUCUCUUGUUGGGUAUUUUCCAUGCACUGUCUCGUUUCAUUCUUACAAUAAACC